UUGACACAGAUAAACCUCCUUCUAACUAGUGACAAAUAAACAGACAAACAAAAACAGACAAACAGACAGAUAGACAGGAGGGCAGACAAGACGACCUGACAAGCUAAUGAGGCCUUGAACCGAACCACAGCGAACCAGGUAAGAGUCAAAUGAAGCACGUGGUUGGGAUGUUUCACAGAGCGGGUUCGGAACUGCUUCGGAACAGCGAGGGAGAGAGGGAGAGGGAGAGGGAGAAUCAGUUUGCGUGUAGAAGUGAGAGGUGAGAGGUGCAGUGUGUGUGACGUUCCUUAAAGUGGGAAAAAUAACAAUAAAAGGAUUAGCGUGGGAGAAAAAAAAGUUUUGCGUUCACUUUCGUCCUUGCUUAAUGAGAGGCGGCGCACGUGUGUACAGAAGACUGUUUCACAAGGAUCCAGCAAGCACAGCAACAACAUCUACCAGCCUCAACACAGUCGACCAGACAUUCCCAACUCAGCCCAAACAUUCCUGCAUUCCGGCGUGGUCGGCAGCACUACGGCAGCCACGGCUCUCAGGAACACACUGGAAAAGUACUGAGAUUCUACAGCUGAAAUAUUAUGUAUGACCGCACCGUAAGAUAGACUCUAACUUAUGUUGUGAAAUUACUCUUCUUUUUUAUAUAAGAGUGGUUCUGUCCGGGGACAAAAAAAAAAAAAAGAUGCAGACCUAAGAUAAUAAAUAGAUAGAAAAAAAAAAAACGCCAUGCCCCAAAAAAAUAAUUGCCUGAAAAAGAUAAAUACAAAAAUUCUGAGUAGUGUGUUGGUGGUGACAAUCUGUCACUGCCUGCUUGUCUCAGUGGUUGUUGCUGCAGUGGCGGUUGUCAGCGCGCUCCUAUCAUUGUCUGCACGCUGCUUCCUCUUCCAAUGGAACGAUGGGUGGGAGGAUACUCCGCCUUCACUACCCUGCGUCUCCAACUGCGUGUCAGAGGGUGCAGCUCAUCACAAACAGCUUUGUAAUGACCGACAGGGCUGUUCCUUGUUCUUCCUUUGUGUUCUCUAGUGUUUUUUCUUCCUCUUCCCAAUAUAUAUUUUUUCAUCAUCAGUUUCCUUUCUCCUUAUUUAACUUCUUUCCCCUAUUUCUUCUUCUUCCAUCUCUUUUAUUUUCAUAUCUACCUC